rnacentral:rRNA from 1 species
CAGCCGCCGCGGUAAUACGUAGGGUGCGAGCGUUAAUCGGAUUUACUGGGCGUAAAGCGUGCGCAGGCGGCCCGUUAAGACAGGUGUGAAAUCCCUGGGCUCAACCUAGGAAUUGCGCUUGUGACUGGCGGGCUCGAGUACGGUAGAGGGGGGGGGAAUUCCUGGUGUAGCAGGGAAAUGCGUAGAGAUCAGGAGGAACACCGAUGGCGAAGGCAGCCCCCUGGGCCUGUACUGACGCUCAUGCACGAAAGCGUGGGGAGCAAACAGGAUUAGAUACCCUGGUAGUCCACGCCCUAAACGAUGGGUACUAGCCGUUUGGUGCGCGAUAGCGCUGAGUGGCGAAGCUAACGCGUGAAGUACCCCGCCUGGGGAGUACGGCCGCAAGGUUGAAACUUAAAGGAAUUGGCGGG